AGCUGAUUUUCAACAUUAGUCGUUGUAAAACGUGUCGAAAUCUUUCUUUUAUCAAAACUCUUGGUAAUUUGGGUGCGUAUUUAACGACGAAUGUGACGUGGCGCGGUAGACGUUGCAGUCUGGUGUGGGAGGCUGGACUCCACGUCACUUCCGCUAACCCAGAUUUCUCCUGUCAAACUGAGGCAGCAUAGCAACAAAGGACGAGCGUGGGUGGGGAUGUCACGAAGACACCACUCCGCCACGGUCAGGUGAUUAUGCCGCUGUGACGUUCAGUCACGUUAAAGCCAAAAGUGUGCUUUUGGGUCGCCAUGGCAAUGAGGAGGCUGCGUGAAGUCAUCGCUACAACCUGAGGAUGUCUCCAAGCUUGUGCACGUGCAGCCUGAUGCUGCCCAACAACUGCAGACGCCCCUUGAGGAAGAGUCCCACCUGCUCAGAGUACGCCACGUCGCAGAACACCCAGAUCUCAGCCCGCUCACGCUGGAUGUUGGCGUUGCAAGUGGGCAAGCCGCCUCGCCGGGUGGCCCUGCUCAGAGCUUGCCACACCUGCACCAGACAGCAAGAUCUCCACAGUUAUGCUGACUGAUGACCCACUUGGACCUCUGGUGCGGGUGCAGCGCAUGCACGGACAGGGUGUGAUGGAAGCGUUUAGAGAGCGAUGGCGAGGGUUGAUGCACACCUUUGGAAGCCAGCACGUUCCAGGACCGC